rnacentral:rRNA from 1 species
GAUUCUGGCUCAGGACGAACGCUGGCGGCGUGCUUAACACAUGCAAGUCGAGCGAUGAAGCUCUUCGGAAGUGGAUUAGCGGCGGACGGGUGAGUAACACGUGGGUAACCUGCCUCAUAGAGGGGAAUAGCCUUCCGAAAGGAAGAUUAAUACCGCAUAAGAUUGUAAUAUUGCAUGAUAUAGCAAUUAAAGGAGUAAUCCGCUAUGAGAUGGACCCGCGUCGCAUUAGCUAGUUGGUGAGGUAACGGCUCACCAAGGCGACGAUGCGUAGCCGACCUGAGAGGGUGAUCGGCCACAUUGGGACUGAGACACGGCCCAGACUCCUACGGGAGGCAGCAGUGGGGAAUAUUGCACAAUGGGGGAAACCCUGAUGCAGCCAACGCCGCGUGAGUGAUGACGGUCUUCGGAUUGUAAAGCUCUGUCUUCAGGGACGAUAAUGACGGUACCUGAGGAGGAAGCCACGGCUAACUACGUGCCAGCAGCGGC